GAGGUGGUGGUGGAAGGGUAUUUUGGUCAAGGGGAUUUUUCUGGCUGUGGUUGAAGGGCUCGUCUGAGAGGAGUACACAGGUGGGGGAAUAAAAUUCCAUGAACUGAUAAGAACUCAUGAGGAAGGAAAGGGUGCAUUGUAGAACUCUGGAGGAAGAACCAGCAGGAUUUAUGUUCUGAUUGAACAUGACUGGGCUUCCAUAGGCCGAGCAAAAGAGCAGAACAAAGGAUGUUGGGGGCAGGGGGAAGAGUAGAUAAUGGUUUUGUCUGUUCAUAUUUGAGGCAUGAAGGAACCUCUGAGUGGAUGUGUUUAGCGGGCAGUCGGCUAUGCCAGUAGGAAAUGAAGACAUAGAUCAGGACGUCAUUCUCACAUAGAAGUCAGAGGAGAGAGUGCCAUGAAGGAAGAUUGUGGUUUGCACCAAGGCACAUGCAUGGUGAUAGAUAGACCCAGAAUUUGAAGUCAGAUCUGUCUAAAUCCAUAGUCCAUCUUCAACCACAGACUGUACUCACUCUAAAACUUUGUCAGAAGCAGAAAAGUACAGGCUUAGUUUUGGCCUUGCGCAAGACUCACAUUCAAUGGGACAUGCGACCUCUUAAGCAUGAAGGUGCAAAAUGCAAUCGGAAAGUAAUGGGGUGUGAGAGAAGAACGCUGAGACUGCGAGACUCCCCAUCGUCUGGGCGGGAGGGGAGGCCUGGCAGCUUCAGCCGACCUGGCCUUGGCCAGAGCCGAGGUCUCCCGCAGACCCCACCUGCUUUCACUCUGAUGGCUUCCCCGAGAACACUUUCUUCUCUAAAACUUUCUACCCUUCCUGCUUCUUUGGUUCAAACCAGAGAAAACUAUGGCCAAGUAGCAAUUCUCAGAACCCAAGCGGGGCUAACAUCCUGCCUGGUUUCCUCCUUGCUUGCUCAGCCCAGAGCAGCCUGAGAGAAUCACGAGAAGGUGGCCUCUGGAGAUUUGCAGGAGUGCCCCGUGCAGGGAAGGACUCCUGGGCUCCUAUCCACCGAGCUCCCUCCCGUAACUUGCUUUUGGGUUCACUGCAUGGGCUGAGGGAGGAAGAGGAAGCAGAGGCUGGGAGAGUGGGGGUGUGGGGCAUGUAGGUUGUGAAACAGCAUGAGAAACCUCCAGAGCCAGCAAAGAAAGUUUUGUUUCUGGAAUUUGGAAUUCAGUGUUUUUGACACUCAACGUUUCUGUGACUAGAAGCCCUGUCCUAGGUGCUAGCGAGGCAAGCCAUGAGGUCAGUCCUGCCUUCUAAGAGCUCACAGGUUCGUGGGAGAGGCAGACAGAUUACCUCUUGGAGAAAAACCGAAGCUCCAGCUCCUGAGAGCAAAGCUCUUUGGAAGGCUAUCAGCCACACCUUCGGCACAAAGCUAUUUUCCAGUCUGCAAUUAUGAGUAGCACCAAGGAUACCCAAUGGAGAGGAUGGCGAAGAUCUGGGUCAGCUGUCUCGGAAUAGGUGCUCACGUAUAGGACGUGGCUAGAGCAAGUAAAACCAGGAGACUAAAGCAUGAAUGGAGGGGAGCCAUUUUUAACACAGACCCAUUUGAGGAGGAGAGCUUGAAAAUCAUACCAAGUGGUUUUCACUUUCUUCUGGAAGUGUCUAGGAGCCACCGAAGGAUUUGAAGCGGUGAAAUUAGCCAGAUUAAUUUGGUAGAGGAAGUUCUCCCUGGAAGUGAAAGAAAAUGACAUGAACCAUGUACCAGCUGCGGUGCUCCAGGGAUGUUCUCUACGGCAUUUCGGUGGAUCCCUUUCGUACGCCAGUUCAGGGAUAGUCAUGCACAAGGUAGAGAGAGCAACGUGCAGCUCAGUGAGGCUAAGCAGUGUUCUCGAGGACACACAGCUGGUAAGUGUUGGGGACUGAAAUCCAGCAUGAUCUCCUCCUCUCGAGCAUGAUUUCUUUCCAGGCACAGAGGCUGGUUCAAAAGGUCCUUAGCAGUUUGGGUGGCAUCGGUUCCCACUGAAGAGUGGAGUUCAAGUGCCGAGCGGGCUACAUUUUUAUAGCAGCGGCAUCCGUUAGCUGGCGGCGGUCCCCAGGGGUUUUUCCCUAUGACUCAUACACAGCAGGGGAAUCCUGAGGGAAGCUCAGCCUUUACUUCUUGAAUUUCAGUCUUGACAGAUGCUCAGUGACUUCAGAUAGCCAUCUGAGUCCUUGCCAACAAAGAGAUUGGAGGAGGGACCUUGGGUAAGUCCCUUUCUCUCUGGACCUCAGUUUUCUUAACCACAAAAGAUGAAGGAUCUCUGAAGUUUGCUUUAAUUAGAAAGAAUCUCUCAUGGUGCCUAAUGUGAUGCUGAGUGCUCAUGGAGCUUAACGAUGACAGUGGUGACUUGUAGGAAUUAAACCAACGGACUAUCAUCACACACAGAAGUGAUUGCAAAUAGGCUGUGGGAAGGGCAUAGAAGACACACGUUCUGAGUUACUCAACUUGCAUCGAGUCCCUCGACUGUACGAUUCACGUGGGAGGGACGUGCCUAGGAUGGUAUGUUUGUUCUUCCCACAUCUUAGAAUCUGUCACCAGUGCCUUAUAUAUCAGUGGCCAAACUAUUCUGUUGAAGGAGAGAAUGAAAAGCAGAAAGGCUACUUGUCUCCUAAGAUCCAUCCUCCCCUUCUUCCUCAAUAAUGCAGCAUGUAAAAGUUAUUGGAAAACAGUAGCCCAGGACAAAACUUCAUUCCCCAGACUUCUUUGAAAGUUGGAUGUGGCCACAUUAUUAAAUUCUUACCAAUGGAAUGUACACGGAAUUGGUGUUGACAUUUUUCUCAGGAAAUAUUCUUAAAGAGAGAGACAUGGUUUUCUCCUUCCCAUUUGUCCUUCUGGCUAAGAUAAAAUAGAGACAUGGAAAAAGGUUUGGAUCUUGGAUGACAAGCUGAAAGCUAGGUGUUGAGAAGAG